rnacentral:rRNA from 1 species
UACGGGGGGGGCAAGCGUUGUUCGGAAUUACUGGGCGUAAAGGGCUCGUAGGUGGCCAACUAAGUCAGACGUGAAAUCCCUCGGCUUAACCGGGGAACUGCGUCUGAUACUGGAUGGCUUGAGAUUGGGAGAGGGAUGCGGAAUUCCAGGUGUAGCGGUGAAAUGCGUAGAUAUCUGGAGGAACACCGGUGGCGAAGGCGGCAUCCUGGACCAACACUGACACUGAGGAGCGAAAGCCAGGGGAGCAAACAGG